rnacentral:tRNA from 1 species
GCAGUCGUGGGCGAUGGACUAGAAAUCCAUUAGGGUCUCCCCGCACAGGUUCGAAUCCUGUUGAGUUCG